rfam:Marchantia polymorpha subsp. polymorpha scaffold979, whole genome shotgun sequence.
GGCCCAGUAGCUCAAGGCGAGAGCCUUCCAAGCAAUGGAUCUGUGUUGCGGGUUCAAGUUCUGCCUGGGCCU